rnacentral:rRNA from 1 species
UACGUAGGUGGCAAGCGUUGUCCGGAUUUACUGGGCGUAAAGAGCGCGCAGGCGGUCGUUCAAGUCGCGUGUGAAAGCCCCCGGCUCAACUGGGGAGGGUCACGCGAUACUGAUCGACUCGAAGGCAGGAGAGGGUAGUGGAAUUCCCGGUGUAGUGGUGAAAUGCGUAGAUACUGGGAGGAACACCAGUGGCGAAGGCGGCUACCUGGACCGGUUCUGACGCUGAUGCGCGAAAGCGUGGGGAGCAAACAGG